rnacentral:rRNA from 1 species
GACGAACGCUGGCGGCGUGCCUAAUACAUGCAAGUAGAACGCUGACUACUUUAGCUUGCUAGAGUAGAAGGAGUUGCGAACGGGUGAGUAACGCGUAGGUAACCUGCCUAUUAGCGGGGGAUAACUAUUGGAAACGAUAGCUAAUACCGCAUAACAGUGUUUAACACAUGUUAGAUGCUUGAAAGAUGCAAUUGCAUCACUAGUAGAUGGACCUGGGUUGUAUUAGCUAGUUGGUGGGGUAACGGCCCACCAAGGCGACGAUACAUAGCCGACCUGAGAGGGCGAUCGGCCACAAUGGGACUGAGACACGGCCCAGACUCCUACGGGAGGCAGCAGUAGGGAAUCUUCGGCAAUGGGGGCAACCCUGACCGAGCAACGCCGCGUGAGUGAAGAAGGUUUUCGGAUCGUAAAGCUCUGUUGUAAGAGAAGAACGUGUGUGAGAGUAGAAAGUUCACACAGUGACGGUAACUUACCAGAAAGGGACGGCUAACUACGUGCCAGCAGCCGCAGUAA